rnacentral:rRNA from 1 species
UACGUAGGGACCAAGCGUUGUUCGGAUUUACUGGGCGUAAAGGGCGCGUAGGCGGCUUGACAAGUCACUUGUGAAAUCUCCGGGCUUAACUCGGAACGGCCAAGUGAAACUGUCAUGCUAGAGUGCAGAAGGGGCAAUCGGAAUUCUUGGUGUAGCGGUGAAAUGCGUAGAUAUCAAGAGGAACACCGAUGGCGAAGGCAGGUCUCUGGGCAUUAACUGACGCUGAGGAGCGAAAGCAUGGGGAGCGAACAGG